GGCAUCUUCAGGUUCUGAAGGGAAACAUACUGGAAGCAUGAUGGGAUGGCCCUGAGCACCACCAGAGUGGCAAAAACUGCAAGCUGGCCAGGAUGUAAGCAACGUUUAAGCCUUGAGAAGCAGCAAAACGAGAGCAAGAGCACGAGCAGGAAGGAGGGCAGAGGGAGAGAAA